rnacentral:rRNA from 1 species
CAGCAGUGGGGAAUAUUGGGCAAUGGGCGCAAGCCUGACCCAGCAACGCCGCGUGAAGGAAGAAGGCUUUCGGGUUGUAAACUUCUUUUGACAGGGAAGAGUAGAAGACGGUACCUGUCGAAUAAGCCACGGCUAACUACGUGCC